rnacentral:rRNA from 1 species
AGUAUAGCAAACUAUACAGUGAAACUGCGAAUGGCUCAUUAAAUCAGUUAUCGUUUAUUUGAUAGUACCUUACUACAUGGAUAACCGUGGUAAUUCUAGAGCUAAUACAUGCUAAAAACCCCGACUUCGGAAGGGGUGUAUUUAUUAGAUAAAAAACCAACGCCCUUCGGGGCUCCUUGGUGAUUCAUGAUAACUCAACGAAUCGCAUGGCCUUGAGCCGGCGAUGGUUCAUUCAAAUUUCUGCCCUAUCAACUUUCGAUGGUAGGAUAGUGGCCUACCAUGGUAUCAACGGGUAACGGGGAAUUAGGGUUCGAUUCCGGAGAGGGAGCCUGAGAAACGGCUACCACAUCCAAGGAAGGCAGCAGGCGCGCAAAUUACCCAAUCCCGACACGGGGAGGUAGUGACAAUAAAUACUGAUACAGGGCUCUUUUGGGUCUUGUAAUUGGAAUGAGUACAAUUUAAAUCCCUUAACGAGGAACAAUUGGAGGGCAAGUCUGGUGCCAGCAGCCGCGGUAAUUCCAGCUCCAAUAGCGUAUAUUAAAGUUGUUGCAGUUAAAAAGCUCGUAGUUGAACCUUGGGCCUGGCUGGCCGGUCCGCCUCACCGCGUGUACUGGUCCGGCCGGGCCUUUCCUUCUGGGGAUCCGCAUGCCCUUCACUGGGUGUGCCGGGGAACCAGGACUUUUACUUUGAAAAAAUUAGAGUGUUCAAAGCAGGCCUUUGCUCGAAUACAUUAGCAUGGAAUAAUGGAAUAGGACGUGCGGUUCUAUUUUGUUGGUUUCUAGGACCGCCGUAAUGAUUAAUAGGGAUAGUCGGGGGUGUCAGUAUUCAAUUGUCAGAGGUGAAAUUCUUGGAUUUAUUGAAGACUAACUACUGCGAAAGCAUUCACCAAGGAUGUUUUCAUUAAUCAGUGAACGAAAGUUAGGGGAUCGAAGACGAUCAGAUACCGUCGUAGUCUUAACCGUAAACUAUGCCGACUAGGGAUCGGGCGAUGUUAUCAUUUUGACUCGCUCGGCACCUUACGAGAAAUCAAAGUCUUUGGGUCUGGGGG